rnacentral:ncRNA from 1 species
GGGUACCGCUGCCAUCCUCUCCUCGACGUUCGGUAUAAGCGUCGGAGGCAGG